rnacentral:tRNA from 1 species
ACUUAGGUGGUAAAGUGCUUGGCUUUCGAACCAAGCGGUCCCGGGUUCAAAUCCUGG